CCGCCUCGGCCUCCCAAAGUGCUGGGAUUACAGGCGUGAGCCACCGCGCUCGGCCAAUUUCGAAGUGUUUUCAAACUACUGCAGCCCUCUCCCAUUGCUGUGGUAACUGGAUGGAAAUGCAUCUAGCAAGAGAAAAUGUACAUAAAGAUUACCUCCCUCCCUGCUCUAGGUUUCUGCAGGUGAGAAGGUGUCGUGAUAGAAUAAUGAACAUUUCCUGUGGGGCUGGCACUGUGUUCUACAUAGAACUCAUUUAAUACAACAACCGUAUAACGAGAUGAACACUGACAGGUUUCCCCCUCCCCCAAGAACAACAAUCACUAGUCUGUAGGGAGCUUCAGUUCUCUGCCCAGAGCUGCGGGUUUCUUCUUCUUUUUUUUUCUUUUUUUUCUUUUUUUUUUUUUUUUUUUUGCAGGAAGCAAGCCAUGUGCAUCAAUUAUCAGGAACGCUUUAAUCCAACUGGGACCCCAAACAAACACCCCGUUUUAAUCCCGGGUGAAGUGAUACAAACAAUUUACAAAGCCUCACGACCCGGCAGCAACCCGAGUCUUACGUGAUCUGGCGAAACUCAUCUGCCUCCUAAGCUCCAACGCCACUGCUUUUCUUUCCCUGUCUCCAGCACUCAGCUCCUUCGGGUCUAUGGCAAUUGUACUUGCUGUUCCUCCUGCCUGGAUUAGUCCUACAGCUUGCCCUGACUGCAUCCUUCUCAUCAUUCAGAUCUCAACGCAAGCAUCACCUCCUUCCUCUGAGGCCUUGGCCUUCAACAUCCCAUUCCCUACCCCACAUCAUUCCAGACUGGAAGCUCUAGAGCUGGCAUUAGAACACUGUCUGGCCCACAAGCCUUCAAUACUUCAACAAAUGCUUGUUGAAUCCAAAAACGCUGAUUACCCUUCAAUCUGCCAGCUCACCCCACUCCCUCUCAAAAUACCUAGGAGAAUUAAUUUACAAAGAAAACAUAAGCAAGCGACAGCGUAACACAUCGACUCAAAACAAAGCCGGUAAUCCGGGGCUGAACUGGUCAACGGCAUUUAAAGAAGGCCCCAAGAAAACCCUUUCCUGAUCGUGCACACACUUUUCAAGAGGCGAAACCAGGGGGACAGGGCGGUCGGCGGCGCAGCGCUGCCUACCUUGAACUCCGCGGAAAGUUGGGGCGUGUAUUCGCGAGUCCAGAGCGCGCGCACCAGCGCCGCCAGCUGCUCGGUGAC
rnacentral:lncRNA from 1 species